CUCAUUUUCUUGGAGUUGAUCAUGUAGGUCAUACUUACGGA
rnacentral:sRNA from 1 species